UGUUUCAUUGGAAAGAAAUAUCAGCACUUUUGCCUGUUCAAUGGUAUGCUUUGUGCCUGGGUUUAUUUGCAUCAAUUAUAUCACCAUAGCAUUUAUUUUUUGCAAGUGGCUUGAAGAGAGCUUUUCAAAUUAAGGAUUUUGGUGAUAGUAUAUUCCUGGACGUGGUGGGUUUACUGACAGAAUGGGCUGUCAGUUGCUUGAAGCAGCCUGGUGUUUUACAAACAUAGCGGCAGGAAAGCCAGAAGAAACUAAAGCUUUGUUGACUGCUUUACCAUUGCUCAUUGCUCAUCUUGGAGGUUGAUGAUGGUUUCUGCAUUUUCCAUUCAAUGUGAAAGAAUGUAAAUGGUUCUUUCUUUUUCUUAUCAGAAAAAGUAAAUGCUUUUUCUUUUUCUUCUUCUUUUUGUGUGUAGUAUUUUUUUCUUUCUCCAUUUCCUCUGGCUUUCUGAGACCUAAGAGUGACUGACAGUAAUUAAAGAUAUCAGGUUAAGUACAAUACAUUGAAAUUGGAUUACGUAACCACAAGUAUGUCCA